UAUCUCUGUAGAGUCUGCAUAUCAAUAAGCGGAGGAAAAGAAACUAACUAGGAUUCCCUCAGUAACGGCGAGUGAAGCGGGAAGAGGCUCAAAUUUGAAAUCUUCAAGGUUCUACCUUGACGAAUUGUAGUUUAAAGAAGUGUUUUCUGUUGGAGUUUUGGUAAAAGUUCUUUGGAAUAGGACAUCAUAGAGGGUGAGAAUCCCGUAUUUGACCAUUACUUUCCAGCUUUGUGAUACACUUUCAAAGAGUCGGAUUGUUUGGGAAUGCAGUCCAAAAUGGGUGGUAAACUUCAUCUAAAGCUAAAUAUUGGCGAGAGACCGAUAGCGAACAAGUACCGUGAGGGAAAGAUGAAAAGAACUUUGAAAAGAGAGUUAAACAGUACGUGAAAUUGUCAAAAGGGAAGCGUUUGACACCAGUGUUGUUUUCUCGAAAAUCAAUUAAAAAAAGUUGGAUUUUGUGUUGUAUUGACCUUAACAGCUUUCUGCACUCUUUUCCUGCUUUUUUUAAUGCACUUUUCGUUUAACAAGGUCAACAUCAAUUUCUUUUGUUGUAAAAGAGUCAUUGGAAGGUGGCUUUCACUUCGGUGAAAGUGUUUAUAGCCUUUGGCUUCUGCAAUCGGAGAGAUUGAGGUCUGCAGCGUAGAUCCUUCGGGGUUAGAUACAUUUGUGCUAAGUUAUAGCCUUUCAUAGACAACUUGUUGACUAUGAUCAGUCAUGUAGCUUACUCGCUUAUGCUAUUUUACCUACGCUUAGGAUGUUGAUAGUCACAGCGUGUAC
rnacentral:rRNA from 1 species